AGGAGAGGGCAGUGUGGGAAAGAAG
rnacentral:piRNA from 1 species